CUACGGGCGGCAGCAGUGGGGAAUAUUGGACAAUGGGGGAAACCCUGAUCCAGCAAUGCCGCGUGUGUGAAGAAGGCCUGCGGGUUGUAAAGCACUUUCGGUUGGGAGGACUGCUUCUAGCACUAAUAUUGUUGGAAGUUGACGUUACCUUCAGAAGAAGCACCGGCUAACUCCGUGCCAGCAGCCGCGGUAAUACGGAGGGUCAAGCGUUAAUCGGAAUUACUGGGCGUAAAGCGCGCGUAGGCGGCUAGAUCAGUCGGGUGUGAAAGCCCCGGGCUUAACCUGGGAACUGCAUCCGAUACUGUCUAGCUCGAGUACAGGAGAGGAGAGUGGAAUUCCACAUGUAGCGGUGAAAUGCGUAGAUAUGUGGAGGAACACCAACGGCGAAGGCAGCUCUCUGGCCUGAUACUGGCGCUGAGGUGCGAAAGCGUGGGGAGCAAACAGGAUUAGAUACCCGAGUAGUC
rnacentral:rRNA from 1 species